rnacentral:rRNA from 1 species
CACCGCGGUUAUACGAAGGGCCCAAGCUGACAGACACCGGCGUAAAGCGUGGUUACGGAUCAACCCAACUAAAGUCAAACAUCCCCCGUACUGUUAUACGCGCCCGGAGAUAGGAUGCCCCACUACGAAAGUGACUUUAAUACCCCUCCCGAAUCCACCACAGCUAAGAAA